rnacentral:tRNA from 1 species
UCCCUGAUGGCCCAGUGGUUAGGACUCCGUGCUUUCACUGCUGAGGGCCUGGACUUGAUCCCCAGUCAGGGAA